rnacentral:rRNA from 1 species
AUUGAACGCUGGCGGCAGGCCUAACACAUGCAAGUCGAGCGAGCGGCGGACGGGUGCGUAAUGUCUGGGAAACUGCCUGUUGCAGGGGGAUCACUACUGGAAACGGUUGCUAAUAACGCAUUCAAUCCGAUGUGCCCAGAGGGGAUUAGCUAGGCGGGGGGGUAACGGCUCACCUAGGCGACGAUCCCUAGCUGGUCUGAGAGGAUGACCAGCCAAACUGGAACUGAGACACGGCCCAGACUCCGACGGGAGGCAGCAGUGGGGAAUAUUGCACAAUGGGCGCAAGCCUGAUGCAGCCAUGCCGCGUGUGUGAAGAAGGUCUUCGGGUUGUAAAGCACUUUCAGCGGGGAGGCGGUACCCGCAGAGGAAGCACCGGCUAACUCCGUGCCAGCAGCCGCGGUAAUUC